GAGGAAUAUUGGUCAAUGGGCGCAAGCCUGAACCAGCCAUCCCGCGUGCAGGAAGACGGCCCUAUGGGUUGUAAACUGCUUUUCCAGGGGGAGAAUUUUUCUGUCGUGACAGGAAUUGACGGUACCCUGGGAAUAAGCAUCGGCUAACUCCGUGCCAGCAGCCGCGGUAAUACGGAGGAUGCGAGCGUUAUCCGGAUUUAUUGGGUUUAAAGGGUGCGUAGGCGGAUUGAUAAGUCAGUGGUGAAAACCUGCGGCUUAACUGUAGACUUGCCGUUGAUACUGUCAGUCUUGAGUGUGGUCAAGGUAGGCGGAAUGUGUAAUGUAGCGGUGAAAUGCUUAGAUAUUACACAGAACACCGAUUGCGAAGGCAGCUUACUGGGCCAUUACUGACGCUGAUGCACGAAAGCGUGGGGAUCGAACAG
rnacentral:rRNA from 1 species